CGCCUUUAGCACCCCAAGUAUUAAAGGUCAUGCCUGCCCAGUGAAAAUCUCUUUUCAACGGCCGCGGUAUCCUAACCGUGCAAAGGUAGCGCAAUCAUUUGCCCCCUAAUUAGAGGCUAGUAUGAAUGGCUUAAUGAGGGCCCAACUGUCUCCUAAGGCUAAUCAAUGAAAUUGAUACCUCAGUACAAACGCUGAGAUACCCCCAUAAGACGAGAAGACCCUGUGGAACUUUAAUUAUUAUUACUAGCAAUCAAUAACCAUAAAUAUAACCUCUAGUAAAAUUUUUAGUUGGGGCAACUACGGAGUAAAACAAAACCUCCACGAAACACGAUUCAGAAUCGUACUACAGGCAGACACGCCACCAAAUAAUACUUGAUCCAGCACAACUGAUACUCGGACCAAGCUACCCCAGGGAUAACAGCGCUAUCCCCUUCAAGAGUCCCUAUCGCCAAGGGGGUUUACGACCUCGAUGUUGGAUCAGGACCCCCCGGUGGUGCAGCCGCUACCAAAGGCUCGUUUGUUCAACGAAUAAUGUCCU
rnacentral:rRNA from 1 species